rnacentral:rRNA from 1 species
AGAGUUUGAUCCUGGCUCAGGACGAACGCUGGCGGCGUGCUUAACACAUGCAAGUCGAACGGGAGGAAAAGAGAAGCUUGCUUCUUUUUGAAUCUAGUGGCAAACGGGUGAGUAACACGUAAACAACCUGCCUUCAGGAUGGGGACAACAGACGGAAACGACUGCUAAUACCGAAUGUGUUCCGGAGACCGCAUGAUUUCCGGAAGAAAGGAUGGCCUCUAUUUAUAAGCUAUCGCCUGAAGAGGGGUUUGCGUCUGAUUAGGCAGUUGGUGAGGUAACGGCCCACCAAACCUACGAUCAGUAGCCGGUCUGAGAGGAUGAACGGCCACACUGGAACUGAGACACGGUCCAGACUCCUACGGGAGGCAGCAGUGGGGAAUCUUCCGCAAUGGACGAAAGUCUGACGGAGCAACGCCGCGUGAGUGAUGAAGGCCUUCGGGUUGUAAAACUCUGUUGUCAGGGACGAAAGCACCGAUCUAUAAUACAUUUUGGUGUUGACGGUACCUGACGAGGAAGCCACGGCUAACUACGUGCCAGCAGCCGCGGUAAUACGUAGGUGGCAAGCGUUGUCCGGAAUUAUUGGGCGUAAAGAGCAUGUAGGCGGGCUUUUAAGUCCGACGUGAAAAUGCGGGGCUUAACCCCGUAUGGCGUUGGAUACUGGAAGUCUUGAGUGCAGGAGAGGAAAGGGGAAUUCCCAGUGUAGCGGUGAAAUGCGUAGAUAUUGGGAGGAACACCAGUGGCGAAGGCGCCUUUCUGGACUGUGUCUGACGCUGAGAUGCGAAAGCCAGGGUAGCAAACGGGAUUAGAUACCCCGGUAGUCCUGGCCGUAAACGAUGGGUACUAGGUGUAGGAGGUAUCGACCCCUUCUGUGCCGGAGUUAACGCAAUAAGUACCCCGCCUGGGGACUACGAUCGCAAGAUUGAAACUCAAAGGAAUUGACGGGGGCCCGCACAAGCGGUGGAGUAUGUG